AAAGCGCCGGGGUACCUUCAGAGAGAGAGACUGUCCAGACCGCUCACACAGCCCGAGAGCAGCUGGACGUUUUCAUCCCUUUCAGUAAAGGCGCGUUUUGAAACCGAGAGCGGUCGACACUGAAUCGCGCCGGAGGUAAAGAGGACGCGGCCACCGCCGUCAUCUCCACAAAGCUCCUUUAUCUCCAGCGUCGCUGACGGGAGGACGCGGGGACCCGAGUGAGAGAAGCUGCGAGAAAACAAGCCAGCAUCAACCCCCCUCAGGAUUAGCGCGGAGAGAGGGAGAGAGACGGAGAAGAGCAGCAGAGACUUCCACUGCAGGAGCUGGAUCAUAGCCGGCUGAAGGAAGCCCCUGCACCGGAGACCCUCUCUCCCCCUUCCGAGGGCGCCGCGAGUCCGUCGCAAUGAAGGAGCCCGACGCCAUCAAGCUCUUCAUCGGCCAGAUCCCCAGGAACCUGGAAGAGAAGGACCUGAAGCCCAUCUUCGAGCAGUUUGGCAAGAUCUAUGAGCUGACGGUCAUCAAGGACAAGUACACGGGCAUGCACAAAGGAUGUGCGUUCUUGACGUACUGUGCCAGGGAGUCCGCCUUGAAGGCCCAGAAUGCGUUACAUGAGCAGAAAACGUUGCCCGGGAUGAACCGGCCCAUUCAGGUGAAGCCAGCGGACAGCGAGGGCCGUGGAGACAGGAAGCUGUUUGUGGGAAUGCUGGGGAAGCAGCAGUCGGAUGCUGACGUGAGAAAGAUGUUUGAGCCAUUUGGCAGCAUAGAGGAGUGCACUGUGCUUCGAGGGCCAGAUGGAGUCAGCAAAGGUUGUGCGUUUGUGAAAUAUCAGAGCAAUGCAGAAGCUCAAGCAGCCAUCAGCGCUCUACACGGCAGCCGCACUCUACCGGGGGCCUCCUCCAGCCUGGUGGUGAAGUUUGCAGACACAGAGAAGGAGAGAGGCAUCAGACGCAUGCAGCAGGUCGCUUCUCAGCUGGGCGUCAUCAGCCCCAUGAGCCUCCACCUGGGGGCCUACAAUGCUUACACACAGGCGCUUGUUCAGCAGCAGGCAUUGGUGGCUCAGUCCGCUUACCUGUCUCCUGUGGCAACAGUUGCAGCGGUGCAGAUGCAGCAGCUGGCUGCUCUCAACCCCAGCAGCAUCAUAGCCACACCCAUUGCAUCAAUCACCCCCUCCUCAGGUACAAGCACCCCUCCAGCCAUUGCUGCCACACCUGUGCCUACUCUGCCUCCACCAAUCGCAGUCAACAGUUACCCACCUGUGCCUGCCCCACCCAGUGGGCAAUCAGCCUCUGAAACACUGUACACCAAUGGAGUCCACCCUUAUCAAGCUCAGAGUCCUGCUUUGGAUCCUCUUCAGCAGGCGUACACUGGCAUGCAGCACUACACUGCCACAUAUCCUGCUGCUUAUGGAUUGGUCGGUCAGCCAUUUCCACAUCAGCCCACCCUGGUUGCUCAGCAACCCCAGCAGCCACAGCAGCUGCAGCAGCGAGAAGGUCCAGAGGGCUGUAAUAUCUUCAUCUAUCACCUGCCUCAGGAGUUCACAGACUCAGAGAUGCUGCAGAUGUUUCUCCCCUUUGGCAACGUCAUCUCAGCCAAGGUUUUUGUUGACCGUGCCACCAAUCAGAGCAAAUGCUUUGGCUUCGUAAGCUUCGACAACCCAGCCAGCGCUCAGACUGCCAUACAGGCCAUGAAUGGCUUUCAGAUUGGCAUGAAAAGACUAAAAGUGCAGCUGAAGAGGCCUAAAGAUGCCAACCGUCCAUACUGAGAUGGCCAGGCUGCCCCGUCCAAUCAUAACUCGUGUGGAGACCACGUCGCUAUGGCUACGGUGGCCUAGCAACCAAUAAAGCUCCCCCCUUCCUCUCACAGCGUUUGUUGUUAACAAAGAGGACUGAAGAAGUUUGGAGAGAAUUAAAAAAAAAAAAAAAAACACCUUUUUUUUUCCUCAGCUGCAAAAUUACGGGACCAACUGCUUGUUUCAAAUACUGUACGAAGAAAAUGAAUACAAAUAUAUACAUUUAACAGAUUUACCUAACCCGCUGCACAAGGCUUGGGUAUAAAAACAGAAAAAGAUAUACAGUUACAACCUCAUCAGUAUACAGUAUAUGAGCGAGAACUUUUUGUAGGCAUUCUGUACAGCUAGACACUGACUAAAACACUAUCGAUGCAAUGUCACAGACUUUCCACACUUUUCAUGCACACUAUUUGAAAGUGUGUGUGUGUGUUUGGGUGUUUCGGUUGGUUUCAAGGCUCCAUCAGGUCUGGAACUAUCACGGCAACACUGUACGUAAAACGGGACCAACACAAAUGUCACGUCCACACAAAAGGGGAUAAAACUGGCUUGUGCUUACACUGGACUACUGAAGUCUAUUGAGCGCCAGUUACGUGUAUAUAGAAAUUUAUUUGGGCCAUAAAAAGGCAUAUCAGUGGUGUGGUGGGGGGAAUUGGUUGGGUUUUUAAGUUAUUUAAGCUCACCAGUGGGUACGUUAGCUAGGGAAAGAGCGUUGCAGUAGAAGUUGCCUGCAAUUACUGAUCUGAAUCAAGUAGAAAUGGAUUGCGGAAGACGAGCGCAAAAUCGGAGAGUUCAGGAAGAUCACAGAAGAGUGAACAUAAAAGGGAGGGGGACACGGAAGGGAGGGGGACACGGGUGGGAGGUGGGGUAAGAAAAUGAAUAUUGUCCAUCACAGUAAGGCCGUAGUUAGAUUUUACAUUUUCAGAUAUGUUUAGGAUGAUUUCAGGGGAAACUCAUGGGGAAAAUAGAGUGGAAAGCAUUUUAAAAUAAUGUAUUUCAUUGUAUAUAUCAUGGUUUGAAAAUUGAAGUUAAGAAUCCAAUUAUUAUUAUUACUAUUAUUAUUAUUGUUAUUAUUAUUAUUAUUAUUAUUAUUAUUAUUAUUAUAGUACUCUCCUUGGUUCAAAAAAGGUAAUUUUUUAUUCUUUUUUUUAAACAGUUGAUUAAUUUAUUGAUUUCUCGAUGAAGGCUGUUUUUUAAAUUAUUUAUGAAGAUAGAGGUUCAUUGGCACGUGUGCCUAUGGAUCAAAGUAUUUUUAGAACUUUUAUUUACAGAAUUACAAUUAAUGAACAAUCAUUAUUCCCUAUUUAUUUUCUUCAGGCCUUGUUUCACAACCUGUCAAUUACCAGAAAAAUAAAAUACAAUUUUAAAUAACAAA